rnacentral:rRNA from 1 species
AUUUGUCUGGUUAAUUCCGAUAACGAACGAGACCUUAACCUGCUAACUAGAUUCUUUUAUUUUAUAACUGAUAUCUUCUUAGAGGGACUAUGUAAUCUAAAUACAUGGAAGUUUGAGGCAAUAACAGGUCAGUGAUGCCCUUAUAUGUCCUGGGCUGCACGCGUGCUACACUGAUGCAUACAACAAGUGCCUAACCAGACAUGGUAUGGCAAUCUCGAAUAUGCAUCGUGAUGGGGAUAGAUCUUUGCAAUUAUAGAUCUUGAACGAGGAAUUCCUAGUAAGUGCAAGUCAUCAUCUUGCAUUGAUUAUGUCCCUGCCCUUUGUACACACCGCCCGUCGCUCCUACCGAUACCGGGUGAUCCGGUGAACCUUUUGGACUCAUUUGGGAAAGAUAAGUAAACCAUAUCACCUAGAGGAAGGGGAAGUCGUAACAAGGUUUCCGUAGGUGAACCUGCRGAAGGAUCA